AUGUUGCACUUUUGAGUAGACUUUCCACAAUUGCAAAGAGUGUAUAACCAUUAUUUCUUGGUUGUGUUGUACAAAAUGUAUAUGAGUAGUUAUAAUUGUGCAGUUGUGAUAAUUUGAUUGCAGAUAAAGAUUGAAGUCAUAUGUUUUGUUAAUUAGGUCUCAAAUUGAAACCUCGAAGGAAAUGAAGUGGAGCUCGGGUUGUACAAUUAUGACAAUCUUAAAGAACAGAGUGAAAAGUAUUUAGAUAGCUGGAAGCUAAAAGAGAUCAUUGCCACUAAAGUUGUACUUGGUGGUUACUUAAGCUUCAAUGACACUUUUAUUCUUCUGGAUCAUGAAUGAUACCGACUUUUUCUCUGGUGAGUAACACAUGGCCAUAGUAUCUUCAAGAAAUUUGGCUCUUUUUUUCCUGCACUUUCUGUAGCAAAACGCAAAAACCAUAAGAAUCGAUCAACACCAAUUCAAAACUUGCAAAAUGGAAACAAGCCCGACAACUAUUGAUAAACAAGAAGCUGUUAUAACCUACAAUGAAGAUAUUUCCUGGGCUAAGGCGAAGCAUUAUGAGAAUGAAUAACUGAAAGAAAGGUGUGCUAAGCUUCUUUUAGGAUAAGAUAUCUUGUGGAAUAACAUAUGUCAGGUGGUGGCAAAGGCACUUCAUCUGCUUUGGCUUUAUAAAAUGCCAUUCAAAUCUUGCUGGUGCUCUUUAUUUGUGAUUAAAAAGUUCAUGCACUAUAUAAUGGGGAGCAUCAAUCAGAAGAUAAAAAAGAAAAAGGGGCCAAAACUUUAUAUGCUCUAGGAAACCGAAGCAACAAGCACCUAGUGGCAUGGGAAGAAUUUGAAGCGCCCGAUGUCGGCUGAUCUCACGCAUGUGAUGUGACCAAUGAAGAUUAGUGAGUGUCUCUUUUUUUAGUUACAUACUUUGAGGAUAAAUCGUGCAACUGUGGGUUUCAGGUCAUUUGUGAUGAUGAUGUGAGGGAAAAUAUACCUGCUAUGGUUUCUUGCAAUGAGGAUACACAAGUAAUUGCUACCAAAAUAUGGUUAAUAAACAGUACGAUAAAACCUUGUGUUUUAACAAGUCAAUUUGAGUCAGGUUAUGGUGUGCUUGGGCAGGGUUGGAGGUACAAGUAGGAGGGGUUGAAGCCAUGAAAUUUGUUGAAAAAUGGCAAGAACCUAAGGGAUUUAAUUUUUACUAGAUUACAUUGUGGGAACAAUUAAUUUGGUCUGCGCAGUGUUAAUGAAAAGACAUAGAAGCUAAGGAUGAGAAUUGGCAGGGGGCUGGCUUUGAGAGACUAGAGAAAACUUUCAUUUGGAGCAAGACACCAACUGACAUAGUGGAGUAUAUGGCAAGAUGAGUCUGUGUGAGUGCUAAUAAUAUUAAUAUUCCUAGAAGGUCAUUACAGUGGUGGAAGUUUUUAAAGAUUACAAGAGAAUUAUUAUUAUUUUAGCUGCAAUUUGCGUGUUAAUAUUGAUUUAUUACUUAUGGUUGUUGAACGUGACAUGGUCAACAUCAUGGAAAACUAAGGCCUAGGAGAUCAACUAAGCCACAACGAUACAAUGUUUAGAGAUCAUGCAUGUUUCAUAUUCCACACACUUUGGCUUAUGUUUUAGUGUCAAUGGUCUACUUAAAGAUUCAAUGCAAUAUGAGUUAUUGAAAUUGUCUC
rnacentral:lncRNA from 1 species